GACGAACGCUGGCGGCGUGCUUAACACAUGCAAGUCGAACGGAAAGGCCCUGCUUUUGUGGGGUGCUCGAGUGGCGAACGCGUGAGUAACACGUGAGUAACCUGCCCUUGACUUUCGGAUAACUUCAGGAAACUGGGGCUAAUACCGGAUAGGAGCUCCUGCUGCAUGGUGGGGGUUGGAAAGUUUCGGCGGUUGGGGAUGGACUCGCGGCUUAUCAGCUUGUUGGUGGGGUAGUGGCUUACCAAGGCUUUGACGGGUAGCCGGCCUGAGAGGGUGGACGGCGACAUUGGGACUGAGAUACGGACCAGACGCCUACGGGAGGCAGCAGUGGGGAAUAUUGCACAAUGGGCGGAAGCCUGAUGCAGCAACGCCGCGUGCGGGAUGACGGCCUUCGGGUUGUAAACCGCUUUCGCCUGUGACGAAGCGUGAGUGACGGUAAUGGGCAAAGAAGCACCGGCUAACUACGUG
rnacentral:rRNA from 1 species